rnacentral:tRNA from 2 species
GGAGAGGUGCAGGAGCGGUUUAACUGGCACGCCUGGAAAGCGUGAGCAGGGGAAACUCUGCCCCGGGUUCGAAUCCCGGCCUCUCCGCCA